CUGUUUUCCUGCCCCAUCUCCUGCUUUACUGUGCUGAGCUGGGACAGCGUGUGUGAAGCAGCCCAAGCCCACAUCCUAGCUGCACCCAGGUUGUGGGCACCAGAGCGGUGGUCUGAGGAACAGAGGUGCCCUCUCCUUGAUAGCUCUGCCUCACAGCCCAUCUUCCAGCAAUUGACAGAGAUGAGCUUGAAGAAGGGUUACUCUCCAGGGAGCCUGUGGGCCAGCCUGCUACUCCAGUGAAGAUGGAGACCCCAGUUUGGCUCCUCUGAGCUGCUCCACCCUGUUAGCAGGGACAUCUGUGUAAUGACAACUCUCCCCACUGGAGCAAAGGUUGACUGGAGUCGGUGGAAGAGAGCAGAGUCUGGUACGAGACCACGCACGCCCAGAGGGUGGGAGGAGGAGUUCCCUGGUAACUAGUGCACAGAGGAUGAGCUGAAGGACUUGUAAGAUGGUUAGAUCCCUACCUCAUGCCACCCACGGAAACAGAGUCCAGGUGGAGGGAUGGCUUUACAGAGAGCAUGGGGACCUAACUGCAAAGAAAAAGAAACAUGAUAUUUUAAUAAAAAUGUGCUGGAGAAAUUUUUCUCAA
rnacentral:lncRNA from 1 species